rnacentral:rRNA from 1 species
AUGUGUGUUCCGAAGGAACAUGGAGGUAUGGGUUUUCGACAUCUUCACACUUUCAACUUAGCAUUACUAGCGAAACAGUGUUGAAGAUUGAUUGAACAUAAUGAUUCACUAUGUGCCCGAGUGUUAAGAGCUAGAUACUAUGCAAACGGAGAUAUACUUAACUGUGUGCUGAAGAAAGAUCAUCAUAUGUAUGGAGAAGCAUUUGGGCAAGAAUCCAAACGUUUAAGAAAGGUUGCAUAUGGAGAGUACGAGAUGGUGCUAAGAUAG